AAGUCGUAACAAGGUUUCCGUAGGUGAACCUGCGGAAGGAUCAUUAACACUUUUAAUGAGUCCAAACCAUUGGAUUUCAACCAACCCGUACGAACCUAUUUCAUUCCGGUUAUUUGAUUGGGGGCGUGUUUCUGUGAUGUUUCUCAUUAGGGUAAAACCUGAAAGAGCACGCAUACAGAAAAAGCCUCACGUUAGAUAACCCGUCCCUGUCAACUUUUUCUCUAACGAUUUUGAACCUAACUGACUAAAACUUUUUUUGCAUUGCUAACGGGGAAACCCUGCAGUAAUUCAAAUCAAAAA
rnacentral:misc_RNA from 1 species